rnacentral:rRNA from 1 species
UACGUAGGUGGCAAGCGUUGUCCGGAAUUAUUGGGCGUAAAGCGCGCGCAGGCGGCCUUUUAAGUCUGAUGUGAAAGCCCACGGCUCAACCGUGGAAGGUCAUUUGGAAACUGAAGGGCUUGAGUACAGAAGAGGAAAGCGGAAUUCCACGUGUAGCGGUGAAAUGCGUAGAGAUGUGGAGGAACACCAGUGGCGAAGGCGCUUUCUGGUCUGUAACUGACGCUGAGGCGCGAAAGCGUGGGGAGCAAACAGG